rnacentral:tRNA from 1 species
UCCCUGGUGGCUUAGAUGGUAAAGCGUCUGUCUACAAUGCAGGAGACCCGGGUUCGAGCCCUGGGUAGGGAA